AAUUAUUCUACUCACCAAAACAAAUUCAAUAAGCUGUAGUUGUUCUGGUGACUAUAGUGUCCCUUUAAAUCUCUUUUUGCAAUUAUUAAAAGUAGGGAAUAGUUUAAAAAAGAAAGUUCUGAGAGGGUAGAAGGGAUGUUAAAUUGAUACUUUAGGCACCCAGAUCACUUCAGCUCAUUCAAGUGGUCUGGGUGAACUGCCUUUGUAAGUUUCUCUGCAGUUGUAAUUACCUUACU